rnacentral:rRNA from 1 species
UACGUAGGGGGCUAGCGUUGUCCGGAAUCAUUGGGCGUAAAGCGCGUGUAGGCGGUCCGGUAAGUCCGCUGUGAAAGUCGGGGGCUCAACCCUCGGAUGCCGGUGGAUACUGUCGGGCUUGAGUACGGAAGAGGCGAGUGGAAUUCCUGGUGUAGCGGUGAAAUGCGCAGAGUAUCAGGAGGAACACCAAUUGCGAAGGCAGCUCGCUGGGACGUUACUGACGCUGGAGACGCGAAAGCGUGGGGAGCAAACAGG